rnacentral:misc_RNA from 1 species
GAUGAAGAACGCAGCGAAAUGCGAUAAGUAAUGUGAAUUGCAGAAUUCAGUGAAUCAUCGAAUCUUUGAACGCACAUUGCGCCCGCCAGUAUUCUGGCGGGCAUGCCUGUCCGAGCGUCAUUUCAACCCUCGAACCCCUCCGGGGGGUCGGCGUUGGGGACCUCGGGAGCCCCUAAGACGGGAUCCCGGCCCCGAAAUACAGUGGCGGUCUCGCCGCAGCCUCUCCUGCGCAGUAGUUUGCACAACUCGCACCGGGAGCGCGGCGCGUCCACGUCCGUAAAACACCCAACUUCUGAAAUGUUGAUCUCGGAUCAGGUAGGAAUACCCGCUGAACUUAAGCAUAUCAAUAAGCGGAGGA